ensembl:lncRNA
AUUUCAGAAAACACUUUUAAUUCAUAAUCGGCAUAGAUAGAUAGAUAGAUAGAUAGAUAGAUAGAUAGAUAGAUAGAUAGAUAGAUAGAUAGAUAGAUAGAUAGAUAGAUAGGCCUGUACGUGAAGGCUCAUAUAGCCUGUAUCCUUACACUGGUUAGUGAUGAUUCUCGCCCGAGCGCACUGCUGUUAAUAUGACAGGAACGAGCUCAUCCCAGAGAUCUCAGGUUAGACGUUUGAGCCAAAGAUCAGUGAAGAAAUCAAGCACACACAUCCACGAUAAGCGACACUGAACCAGAACGACUCACAGAGCACAGAGGGAGCGGGACAGGUCAGGAGGUUCGGGGGCGGGGUCUCGUCAUUGUUUCCCGCAGAUAAAUGAUUGCAUUCCUAAUUUAGAAAUCAUCGCUCAGAGCAUCAAACUCACUCCAAGACACCGACUCAAUGGAGAGGAUUUUAUAGCCUGUGCUUAAGAUUAAAUUGGGUCCAGAGAGAAGAGCGCGUUUUCUGCUGGACGCAGCGGCUGCGCUGAGCAGCAUCAGGACCUCUCGAGCCGUGCCUGCAGGAGCUGUGCUCGCUCCAUGUGCUCUGACACACACCUCCCUCUGUGACAGCAUCGCUUUCAUCGCCCUCAAGUGCUCGGACAGACGAGAUACCGCCUGUGUGCUGCAGAUGGACCCAUCAGCGUCCAGCCAAUGUCUGCAGAUGAUUCAGUCAGCCAGGAAUGCAGAGGAGCAAAAUCUAGAGGCUUAUAUGAGGAACCUGCAUCUAUUUUUCAGAGCCUUUAAGGAUGUUCCUGAAAACACAGAGCUUUUAGUUUGGUAUGGAAGAGAUCUAACCAAACUGCUUGGCCUCAGCACAGAGCAAAAUAACACUAAAGGUUUGAUUUGCUCUGAAUGCAGACAAGAGUUUUCUCUUUGAAUUCCCUCUGUUGGCACACUAUAGAUUUUUCUGCAUAAAGAAACUACAAGCUUCUUGAAGGAACUCACCCUUCCAAUAAUUUAUUCAGUGAGUAGCAAACCUACCACAAACUUCCACAAUUUAGCACGAGAGCAGGGGAACUGCAAGAAAAACUGUCCUCCAGAUGCAAAGCGCCCUAAAAGAAGACGUUCUCUAGAUUCUGACACAGACGAGAGUGAUGGCGAAGAGAUGGAGAUGAUGAAAAGGUAUUAGUGAAAAGUUUUUGUGUUAAUGGGGUGAAUAGAUGUUCCUGGUCAUCUGCCAGCAAAAAGCCUUUCAGUAAGGGCCAGAAUUCUCAGUGUAGCCAACCACAAUGCCAUGACAACUGCAGGACAGGCCCAGACAACCAGGAUUUAAAAUCUACAACAAGAAGUCUGCAUUCACACCUAGAGUGUCAAAAGAUGUUCAAGGUGACAAGAACAAAAAGAGUGCAUUUAGAAAUGUUUAAAGAGCGUCAUCACCUCUCACGUCAUGUGACCUCUCAUACAUAAGCUCAUGUAAAAACCUUGUAUUUUGUGAUAUUAUGUAUUGUUAUAUAUUUUUGCAUUAGACAAUACCAAUACUAUCAACUGGGAAUGUGGAGGGGCAUCACUUAAUAAACAAAAAUUGUUUUUAAUAACACACUGUAUUUUACUUGUGGUGUG